rnacentral:rRNA from 1 species
UUUAAUUGAAGAGUUUGAUCAUGGCUCAGAUUGAACGCUGGCGGCAGGCUUAACACAUGCAAGUCGAGCGGUAGCACAGGGGAGCUUGCUCCCCGGGUGACGAGCGGCGGACGGGUGAGUAAUGUCUGGGAAACUGCCUGAUGGAGGGGGAUAACUACUGGAAACGGUAGCUAAUACCGCAUAACGUCGCAAGACCAAAGAGGGGGACCUUCGGGCCUCUUGCCAUCAGAUGUGCCCAGAUGGGAUUAGCUAGUAGGUGGGGUAAUGGCUCACCUAGGCGACGAUCCCUAGCUGGUCUGAGAGGAUGACCAGCCACACUGGAACUGAGACACGGUCCAGACUCCUACGGGAGGCAGCAGUGGGGAAUAUUGCA